GAUCUACCCUUGGUCAGGUUGAAGUUCAGGUAACACUGAAUGGAGGACCGAACCGACUUACGUUGAAAAGUGAGCGGAUGAACUGAGGGUAGCGGAGAAAUUCCAAUCGAACCUGGAGAUAGCUGGUUCUCUCCGAAAUAGCUUUAGGGCUAGCCUCAAGUGAUGAUUAUUGGAGGUAGAGCACUGUUUGGACGAGGGGCCCCUCUCGGGUUACCGAAUUCAGACAAACUCCGAAUGCCAAUUAAUUUAACUUGGGAGUCAGAACAUGGGUGAUAAGGUCCGUGUUCGAAAGGGAAACAGCCCAGACCACCAGCUAAGGUCCCAAAAUAUAUGUUAAGUGGAAAAGGAUGUGGCGUUGCCCAGACAACUAGGAUGUUGGCUUAGAAGCAGCCAUCAUUUAAAGAGUGCGUAAUAGCUCACUAGUCGAGUGACACUGCGCCGAAAAUGUACCGGGGCUAAACAUAUUACCGAAGCUGUGGAUUGUCCUUUGGACAAUGGUAGGAGAGCGUUCUAAGGGCGUUGAAGCAUGAUCGUAAGGACAUGUGGAGCGCUUAGAAGUGAGAAUGCCGGUGUGAGUAGCGAAAGACGGGUGAGAAUCCCGUCCACCGAUUGACUAAGGUUUCCAGAGGAAGGCUCGUCCGCUCUGGGUUAGUCGGGUCCUAAGCUGAGGCCGACAGGCGUAGGCGAUGGAUAACAGGUUGAUAUUCCUGUACCACCUAUAAUCGUUUUAAUCGAUGGGGGGACGCAGUAGGAUAGGCGAAGCGUGCGAUUGGAUUGCACGUCUAAGCAGUAAGGCUGAGUAUUAGGCAAAUCCGGUACUCGUUAAGGCUGAGCUGUGAUGGGGAGAAGACAUUGUGUCUUCGAGUCGUUGAUUUCACACUGCCGAGAAAAGCCUCUAGAUAGAAAAUAGGUGCCCGUACCGCAAACCGACACAGGUAGUCAAGAUGAGAAUUCUAAGGUGAGCGAGCGAACUCUCGUUAAGGAACUCGGCAAAAUGACCCCGUAACUUCGGGAGAAGGGGUGCUCUUUAGGGUUAACGCCCAGAAGAGCCGCAGUGAAUAGGCCCAAGCGACUGUUUAUCAAAAACACAGGUCUCUGCUAAACCGUAAGGUGAUGUAUAGGGGCUGACGCCUGCCCGGUGCUGGAAGGUUAAGAGGAGUGGUUAGCUUCUGCGAAGCUACGAAUCGAAGCCCCAGUAAACGGCGGCCGUAACUAUAACGGUCCUAAGGUAGCGAAAUUCCUUGUCGGGUAAGUUCCGACCCGCACGAAAGGCGUAACGAUUUGGGCACUGUCUCAACGAGAGACUCGGUGAAAUCAUAGUACCUGUGAAGAUGCAGGUUACCCGCGACAGGACGGAAAGACCCCGUGGAGCUUUACUGUAGCCUGAUAUUGAAAUUCGGCACAGCUUGUACAGGAUAGGUAGGAGCCUUUGAAACGUGAGCGCUAGCUUACGUGGAGGCGCUGGUGGGAUACUACCCUAGCUGUGUUGGCUUUCUAACCCGCACCACUUAUCGUGGUGGGAGACAGUGUCAGGCGGGCAGUUUGACUGGGGCGGUCGCCUCCUAAAAGG
rnacentral:rRNA from 1 species